AGAAUUUUGCGGCCACAAAUUGUACAACAUACACAGGACGAUAUCUUGAAGGAAAACAUAACUGCACUUGGACAUCUUGUAGUGAAGGAUGUACAAAAGAAAUUUUUACUUGCUGGCAGAUUGAAGUUUGGUAUGAACGCCAACCUGCUCAUGAAGUUUCAAAGAGUUUACAACUGCUACCAUCAAAGGAUUUAGUAACUGGAAGAUUAUUUCCAAAUGUAAAAGGAUGUGGUUAUCCUCCAAAAGUUGUUUGUGGAGAAUUUGCUGAAAAGUUCGGAGAAACUGGGAAAGUUUUUCCUUGUUUCUAUUCACAACUGGAACCGAGUUUAGUUAUUACUAGCCUAGAUCUGCAAGAGGUAAAACGUACAUUGCAAAGAUCAUGAUUAUUUUCCUUGUUUCUAUUCACAACUGGAACCGAGUUUAGUUAUUACUAGCCUAGAUCUGCAAGAGGUAUACAACCAUCUAUUGUACUCUACAGCUGUUCCUAUUCCAGCAUUUAUAGUUUCUGUUCUAUAUAUAUUCUUUGCUUAUUUCUACAUUUAUGCAGAGAUUCCUGAAGAUCUUUGUGAGCAAGAAAUAUUGAGUGAAAGCAGUUCUUCGAAGAGCCAGAAUUGCUUAACCUCAUCAGAAACAGGGUGCAACCAGUCACAACUGAUUCAUCAAAACUCUACGACAUUUUCUCAAGCAAGUGAAGAGAAACAGAAGACGGCUCAAGAAAGACAAGCGGCUGAUAGAAAGAUUUACAGAACACAGUCCUGAGGUUAUCGAGGUAAUCAGAUUCCGAUGCAGAAAAUGAAAAUUAAUAAACUUGUUAAAAACUUACAAUUUUGAGUAUUCUUAUUUUCUACAAAAGGUGAACUUUCAAAUUGGAAUUAGUGUCACCUUUUUCGUCCCAAACCUUACACUUUUUAAUGAACAAAAUAAGAUUCCACAUUAUGAUUCUAGUAAAGCCUAAAUACAUAAUAAAAUUAUUAUAUUAUACACAGUAAUUUAAACCCAAUAA
rnacentral:lncRNA from 1 species